AUUUUAGUUCAAAAUAAUCAACCUAAACGAUGGUUGUGAAAAUUCAAGCUCCUUCGUUUGCUCUUUCGUCUCUAUCAUUACUGUUCGUGAGGAGCUUCUCUUUUCUACUCGAUUAAUCCAUUCAUGCUUCGAAUCGGACAGCGAAAUUUGCUAGGAGAGUUUCAAUUUCAAAUCCUGUCGGGGAUUCAUUUGGUAUUGCACUCGCUUUUUCUCUCCGCACUCGCUUUCUUUUUUUCUCUCUCCUAGGGUUUGCUCCGCCAUUAACCCACUGUUCACCGCAAAGUCAAGCUCAAUUUACAUGGGCUCUAAUUAGUUGGGCAGAACAUGUCCAAUCACCAAGGGGGUGAUACUGAAUAUAUGGCGGAUGAAUGUGAAAUGGAAGAUGUAGAAGAUGGCAUGGACGAUGAAUCUAUUAAUAGAGAACGGGGUGGUGUAGAGUCUGACACAGAUGAAUAUGAUAACUCGAGUGGUAAGGUAGUUACAGGCUUACAGCUGCUGAGGCUAGAAGAGGACAAGACAUCCAGGGAAUUCCUUGGAAUAGCCUUGGCAUCACUAUAGAAAGAUAUCGAAAAACUAGGCUUGAGCAAUACAGAAAUUAUGAACAUAUCCCUGGUUCAGGGGACAAGGCAGGGAAGGAUGAAGGGAGUGGACAUGACAUGCCAACACCACAAGGAGGAUCUUCAUUAGAUAGUAAUGUUCAUGGAGUUUGACAUUAUUUUUGUUUUUUUUUUGACAUGAUGAACUCAUGAAUUUGAACCUAUGUUUUAUAUUUGAAGCAAGAUUAA